rnacentral:misc_RNA from 1 species
UCUCCGUAGGUGAACCUGCGGAGGGAUCAUUACCGAGUGAGGGCGCUUGCGCCCGACCUCCCAACCCUUUGAUUUAUCAUACCUCAUUAUGCCUCGGGGGCACCGGCGACGGUCCCCCGGCGGCACCCUUCAAACCCCGCAUCAAUUGUCGUCUGAUUAUAAAGUUAAUUCAAUUAAAACUUUCAACAACGGAUCUCUUGGUUCUGGCAUCGAUGAAGAACGCAGC